rnacentral:rRNA from 1 species
UUGAAAUCUGGCCUCUUUGGGGUCCGAGUUGUAAUUUGGAGAGGAUGUUUCGGGUACGGUCCGGGCUUAAAUUUCUUGGAACAGAAUGUCACAGAGGGUGAGAAUCCCGUCUGGAGUCUGCGACACGGCCUAUGUGAAACUCCUUCGACGAGUCGAGUUGUUUGGGAAUGCAGCUCUAAAUGGGUGGUAAAUUUCAUCUAAAGCUAAAUAUUGGCCAGAGACCGAUAGCGCACAAGUAGAGUGAUCGAAAGAUGAAAAGCACUUUGAAAAGAGAGUUAAACAGUACGUGAAAUUGUUGAAAGGGAAGCGCUGGCAACCAGACUUGCGCGUCGGGGUUCCCCCUGGCUUCUGCCUGGGCUACUCCCCGGCGCUCAGGCCAACAUCGGUUUUGGGGGUCGGUUAAAGGCCCCGGGAAUGUACCUACCCUUCGGGGUAGACUUAUAGCCCGGKGUGUCAUGCGGCCACCCGGGACCGAGGAACGCGCUUCGGCUCGGAUGUUGGCGUAAUGGUUGUCAGCGACCCGUCUUGAAACACGGACCAAGGAGUCUAACAUCUAUGCGAGUGUUAGGGUGUCAAACCCUUACGCGGAAUGAAAGUGAACGGAGGUAGGAAGCCGUAACACGCUGCACUAUCGACCGAUCCUGAAGUUUACGGAUGGAUUUGAGUAAGAGCAUAGCUGUUGGGACCCGAAAGAUGGUGAACUAUGCCUGAAUAGGGUGAAGCCAGAGGAAACUCUGGUGGAGGCUCGCAGCGGUUCUGACGUGCAAAUCGAUCGUCAAAUUUGGGUAU